rnacentral:rRNA from 1 species
UACGGAGGGGGCUAGCGUUGUUCGGAAUUACUGGGCGUAAAGCGUGCGCAGGCGGCUGCUCAAGUCAGGGGUGAAAGCCCAGAGCUCAACUCUGGAAUUGCCUUUGAGACUGAGUGGCUUGAGUACGGGAGAGGUGAGUGGAAUUCCCAGUGUAGAGGUGAAAUUCGUAGAUAUUGGGAAGAACACCGGUGGCGAAGGCGGCUCACUGGCCCGUAACUGACGCUCAUGCACGACAGCGUGGGGGAUCAAACAGG